CCAAUAGCGUAUAUUAAAGUUGUUGCAGUUAAAAAGCUCGUAGUUGAAUUUCGGGGUUAGUAGGUUGGUCAUGCCUCUGGUAUGUACUGAUCUCACUGAUUCCUCCCUCUUGACGAACUGUAAUGUCAUUAAUUUGGUGUUGCAGGAAAUCAGGACUGUUACUUUGAAAAAAUUAGAGUGUUUAAAGCAGGCUAAGGCUUGAAUACAUUAGCAUGGAAUAAUGGAAUAGGACGUUUGAACCUAUUUUGUUGGUUUCUAGGAUCGACGUAAUGAUUAAUAGGGAUAGUUGGGGGCAUUAGUAUUCAAUUGUCAGAGGUGAAAUUCUUGGAUUUAUUGAAGACUAACUACUGCGAAAGCAUUUGCCAAGGAUGUUUUCAUUAAUCAAGAACGAAAGUUAGGGGAUCGAAGACGAUCAGAUACCGUCGUAGUCUUAACCAUAAACUAUGCCGACUAGGGAUCGGAUGAUGUUAAUUUUUUAAUGACUCAUUCGGCGCCUUACG
rnacentral:rRNA from 1 species